rfam:Loxodonta africana unplaced genomic scaffold scaffold_12, whole genome shotgun sequence.
ACAUCGGUGGUUCAGUGGAUGAAUUCUCACCUUCCAUGCAGGAAACCCAGGUUCGAUUCCUGGCCAAUGCA